rnacentral:rRNA from 1 species
AUCGGUGCUUGCACCGAGAUUCACAUGGAACGAGUGGCGGACGGGUGAGUAACACGUGGGUAACCUGCCCUUAAGUGGGGGAUAACAUUUGGAAACAGAUGCUAAUACCGCAUAGAUCCAAGAACCGCAUGGUUCUUGGCUGAAAGAUGGCGUAAGCUAUCGCUUUUGGAUGGACCCGCGGCGUAUUAGCUAGUUGGUGAGGUAAUGGCUCACCAAGGCGAUGAUACGUAGCCGAACUGAGAGGUUGAUCGGCCACAUUGGGACUGAGACACGGCCCAAACUCCUACGGGAGGCAGCAGUAGGGAAUCUUCCACAAUGGACGCAAGUCUGAUGGAGCAACGCCGCGUGAGUGAAGAAGGCUUUCGGGUCGUAAAACUCUGUUGUUGGAGAAGAAUGGUCGGCAGAGUAACUGUUGUCGGCGUGACGGUAUCCAACCAGAAAGCCACGGCUAACUACGUGCCAGCAGCCGCGGUAAUACGUAGGUGGCAAGCGUUAUCCGGAUUUAUUGGGCGUAAAGCGAGCGCAGGCGGUUUUUUAAGUCUGAUGUGAAAGCCCUCGGCUUAACCGAGGAAGCGCAUCGGAAACUGGGAAACUUGAGUGCAGAAGAGGACAGUGGAACUCCAUGUGUAGCGGUGAAAUGCGUAGAUAUAUGGAAGAACACCAGUGGCGAAGGCGGCUGUCUGGUCUGUAACUGACGCUGAGGCUCGAAAGCAUGGGUAGCGAACAGGAUUAGAUACCCUGGUAGUCCAUGCC